AACGAACGCUGGCGGCAUGCCUAACACAUGCAAGUCGAACGAGACCUUCGGGUCUAGUGGCGCACGGGUGCGUAACGCGUGGGAAUCUGCCCUUGGGUUCGGAAUAACUCGCCGAAAGGCGUGCUAAUACCGGAUGAUGUCGUAAGACCAAAGAUUUAUCGCCCAGGGAUGAGCCCGCGUAAGAUUAGGUAGUUGGUGAGGUAAAGGCUCACCAAGGCGACGAUGCGUAGCCGACCUGAGAGGGUGAUCGGCCACAUUGGGACUGAGACACGGCCCAG
rnacentral:rRNA from 1 species